GGCUCGGUGGCGGAUGGCCCGCGUCUGCGCAGUAUAGCUCCUGACUUUUGGACUGUUCAGCAGAAUUUACCCGUUCGAUUCGGGUCCGAGCCA